AACCAACAGUGACUGGUGGUUUGUCAAGAAACAUUUGACUUUGGAGCAAGGUUACGUUCCUGCUAAGCUUCUGGCAGAAGAAACCUCUUACACCCACUAUGUCCACAAAACUAGCAGAAAAGAUCAGCAAGCUCCCUGUGUUUGACAAACUGAAGAAGGGCCAAAAGGCAGAACCACCUACAAUAGUGACGAAAAUCCAGCCAUCAGUAAUAGCUGAUGGAAAAGAAGCUCAGUUUUGUCUGCAAGGUCCAGGGUACUCCACGACCUACUAUUACCUGGUUCAGACAGACUGCUAUUAUUAAGCCAUCUGAUGAGUUCCAGGUGUUCUACUCUGAUGACAACACCGCUACACUGGUCAUAAAGGAAGUAUUCCCUGAGGAUGCUGGUAUGUUCACCUGUGUGGCCAAAAAUGAAUUUGGCUACUCUUCUUGUA